GUUCCUUGUCAUAUAUCUUGCUAUCACUUAGUUGUUUAUCUUGCUUAGCAUAAGUUGUUGGUGCACAUAGGUGAGCCUAGUUGUUGUAGGUUUUGUGCUUGUCAAAUUAACCGCUAGGUUUAUUCCGCAUUUGUUCAAGCCUAAACCGUAAUUAUUUUAAAGCGCCUAUUCAACCCCCCCUCUAGGCGACAUCCACGAUCUUUCACUAGGCAUACUAAUUCUUUGGGUCUGGUCCCAGUGGUCGGGCGAGGUUCCUAAAUUUUAGCUUGCCUGGAAGAAGCACAUUUUCUCAGCUCUUGAUUAAACCAAUUAAUGUCAAUUUUUUUGUGAAAACAUCAAGGAGAAAAUUGAAUCAGUAAAUUUCUUUGAUCUAACUAAAUUCUUUAUUACUUUCCACAUUAAUAUAUCCCACAUCUUAGCAUUACAGUUAUUUUGGCGAUUACUUUCUGUUUGAUGGACCAUGGAUGUAUGGCAGACAUGUAGCCAUUGGCAGAUAUUCAUCAGCCUCUCUGCAUUGACCAGGUCAUUACCAGCCGGCACUAGCUAGUUCGAAAUCUCCAGAACUUCUUCAAUCUCUGUUUUUUCUUCUUUUGAAUGUUUCAUCUCUGUUUUGUUUUUGUUAUGGUGUGUGUGUGCAUCAUAUCUUCUAAGUACAAAAUAUCCGUUUGGGUUGGGCCAUGUCCUAUACGUGCUAAAUCGUAACAAAAGGAUGGCAAAACAAUUAAUGUACAAAAUAGAAACCUGUAUUUGCAUGAAUAUUUCAGCACUGAAGAAAACAUCCAAAUUCACAACCACAUAAAAAACCAAACAAAACAUGAAUGACCCCUUCUGGAAGGAGAGAUAUGGUUCAGGUGGAUUUCAGUAAUUCACAAAACAUCCUUAUGCAACAAGCAGUCAAAUUUCUUUAUUGAUACACAAGCAUAUGGUUUGCCUCUUCUGCUAUGUAUCUAUAUAUAUACAUCCCUUAAUUCACUAAGCUCCCUCGGGGUUGAAGCCUCCACAUUCAAUUGAGGUCUCACAUUUGGAAUUCGAUUGAUGAUUUUUACUUGGUCGUACCACUCGCUGUGUGGUGAGAUUUUUCGGUGGGUGGGCCCCUUUGUAACUGUCACACUACCAUGGGUCUUGCCAGUCAAAAUCGAUACGCAGCGUGGCGGCGUGGAGUGCUUCGGGUGAAACGUGUCCACCAGUUGGUUUAGGCCGCCUGUUUACAGGAGGGGUGGGUUGGAGACAGCUUUUGGCUGGCCGGCGCUGACGUUGCGGCUGCUGUUGGUGGUGAAUGGUGGCUGCUGUGGUGGGUUAUCUCCGGCCCUGCUGUCGGUGCUGGUGUGCCAAUUCAGUGCCUCCUUCCUGGUCCUUUGCCGCAUCUUCUCUUUGUACGCCUCAAAUCUACUUUGCCUCGAUUCCGUCUGCUUGUCGUCCGCUGUGACGUUCUUGGCCCGACAAGGUAUGCCGUACUUGCCUUUCCGUUUAUCAUGUUUCCCAUUGACCUGGGUCAGUGUUGGUGCACUGAUGGUGCGUUACCGUCGGGCCUUCUUCAUUGUACAAUUUUCUAUUGGGCUGCGAUGGUGCCGGUGGAUCUUGGGUUCUUGAUUCUUUCAGUGGGAUUUGUCUUGCCGUACUGUUAUGGUUGGGUAGCUAUUGUAGUUGUUGUUCCUUGGCAAGGGGUGCUUGUUGCGCUGUUAUCUGGAUUGUUGGGGAAUGCUUGCGUUUUUAGCCUGCACAGAUUCUUGAUUUUGGUAAAUAGCCAGGGGAACAAGUUGUUGGUUUUAGCAGGCAGCCAUUAGUCUCUUCAUUGUUUUUUGAUAUGUGGGUAGGUGUUUUAUUUGGGGUGUUGUGUGAUUGAUCUGGUUAGCUGGAUUGAUGCUGGUUGUAGUUGUCGUUUGCUGAUAAGAAGUGCUUUUCAAAACUAUACUUGUUUGAUGAUGUAAUACUAUCUGAUUUUGUUGAAAAAUAAGUAUAGUUCUCUCAGUCUGUACUAAUGCUUUGUUUUAGCGAACAAACCAUUGUUUUUUUAACAGCCAGAAGUAGCUUCUCUGAUUUUGUAACAUGGGACUAGGUGGCAUGGGGCAAGGCACAACCUUCAGUUUCAUUUAUCCCUAUAUUCAGUGAAUUCAGAUAUGGAUCACUAUCCUGAAUAACUCUUUUUUAAGAGAAGUAUCCUGAACAGCUUGGGAUUUGUUACGUACCAAUGUUCAUAGGUUGGUAACUUGGUAUGCUAGAUUCAAGUACGCCCUUCAGUCACAGAAGUUGUUCUCUAGAGUUGGGUAAAUAGUUUUAGGUGACACCUACUACAUAGUUAAUCAGGUAUAAAAAUAUAUAUUAAAUGGUGUUGUGAUAGUUCGACAUGUAUUUUUUUAUGGUCCAUUUGUGUGUACUAACAACAAAUUCAGUGAGCAUGGGCAUACUACAUUUGCAAAAACUUCAUCCAGCUGACAUUGUUGUACAGUAACAUUUUCCUUGGUGAAUCCAUACAAGCAAUGUCCUUGGCAUGUAUUAUGCCACUACAUGCUGAUUCUGGAGGUUCGGCUUUGGUUUACGUACUAAUAUGCGUCUUUUGGUUUGUUUACCAGAUGAUGUAUGACAUGCUAUAAGAGACAAUCCUACAUAUGUGGGUAGAAUAACAGAGGGUGUAACAUUUCCAGCAAGGUUUUUAGUAUUAAAGAGGAAAAAAUCUGAAGGCACACAAGAUUGUUCCUGGAAAACAAUAUGAAGACCAGAAAACUUUUGCAAGCAUGUACGGUUCAUGUGUGUCAUUUCAAACAAACUAACUCAUGUGUGCAGGAUAAGUUGGUCGUGUGGGGCUUAUAAAGGGGACACAGACCGUGUGGAGCUUAAAAAGGUAUAACGUGAGGACACUAGGAUAUUCACAAAACGAGCUGAACUAGCUAGAUUCGAGGAAAUGUGUGGGAAACGUUGAUGCGAGCAUUUCCGCUUAUUUGAAAUGUUUUUCUUCGGCAUCUUACACUUUGUUGUUCUCGCUCAGUUGGUCAUCCAGUAAGGAUGUGACAGAGCCACGGAGGGUCCUUUCUAUAUGCAGUGAUGCUAAGGGAUUUGGGAGUCUUUCGUGGAUGAGGCUUGAAAUGAUGUGAACAAAGAGGAUAAUACAUCAAGCAAAGCUGAAUCCAAACUGACCAAAAGCAGUGAGAACUUGAAAACUUUUCCAUUUGCAUUACACGGUGGUCGGAGCCGCCGUCCAUGUUCAAAACCAAGGUGCCGCAGAAAACGGCUACGGCUGAAGAUAGGCACGGCUGGGAGGGAUCAUCAUCAUAGUUUAAGGGCAAGAGCAAGCAUGAAGUUAUUCCUGACUCCGCUCUCUUUAUCCUUGAUGAAUUGCGAGAGGAGAAAACACAGAAAGUCGAGAUGAGGGGCUGGCAAGACAGCUCCAGGAACAACUAGGCAUUUCUCUAAGGGCAGGAACAACUACGUAGUAGACUUGCAGGAUUUUCAUUUCACUUUUUUUAUGUUCUUUUUAAAACAAGUCCGUCAGCUGCUCAGAUGGAUGCACUAGUUUUUCUUU